rnacentral:lncRNA from 1 species
AGCAAUUUUACUGAUGAGAAAAAAAUUAGAAAGGCUAAGUAACUUGACUGUCCAUUUAGGAACAUCUCAUAAUACCCAACAUAAUAAAAUUACAGAAAGAGAACAUUUUCCUUCCUUCUUUUUCUUUCUUCAUGUUAUAGUUAAUCAUAUGGGUAUGAUUUGGAUUGACUAAGACUCCUUCCUGUAAGCAGCUUACCUUAGCUUGCAAAUCAAUUCUCCAAAUGAUUUGGCUUAGCAAAAUUCUUGUUGAUCCACAAAUUCACAGUGUUUCUGCCCGUCCCUUUUAUUUUGGCUUGAUUAAUGACCCUUUUGCCUUCUAUUUAAUUUUGCAUUGAUAAGCCAAGGGAAUAGGAAACAUCUGUUCAUAGCAAGUAUUCCUGGAGUUUCAAUAGACAAAGAUUACUUACCCUAUAAAUUAAGACAUAAUACACAUUGAUACCAUAU